AAAUUCAUAAUUCAAUAUUAGGGAUGUGACAAGAUCUCGGGCUGCAAGAUCUUGCGAGACUAAAUCGCGACAAGAUUUCUCUUCUGCAAUUUGUGAUUAUUUUUUCAGUUGAAUAAAAUAUUUGUCAUUCAUGUAUUUCAUCAUUGAUGAUUUCUUAAAAAUAUUGUAAAAAAUCUUGUCUUGUUUUGUGGAGUAAGCGUCUUUGUCACGAUCACCAGCGAUCGUAACUAAUGAUUAAAGUUUAUAGUUAUUAAAAAAUAUGCUGCUGUCAUAAAUCUCAAUUAAUGAAUUCAGGCAAGUCUGCAUUUUCCUGUUUUUGAAAAUAUUUUUUAUAUGUAUUUUUAUUAAAAACAGCAAGAAAAAAUCUCACAUAUCUACUUGCAUUUUAAAUAUUACAUAAUCAUCAUUUAAUAAAAAGUAAUAUUGCUAUUAAUAUUACAUUAUCAUUAUUUAAUAAACCUAAAAAUAUAUACAAUUUAAUGAACAAAAAUAAACACUAAAUAUAUUUAGUAAAUUAUAUAAUCACAAAUUAAUUCAUAAUUAAUUAAAUUAUUAUUG
ensembl:processed_transcript